UUUAAAGAGAUAAGGUCAACAGGUAAUGUGAUGGUGCCAACUUGGAUCAAACAAGAUUUAUAAACAGUGGAUGUGAUGAAAGUUUCUCCUAACGGAGUCUCCACAGAUAGAUCAAAGUCUAAUUUCUCCGGAGUCAAGUUUAAACGUUGAGCACAAGCAGGAGAAAUAAAGGAAUGGGUAGCACCGAUAUCUAGUAAGGUAUAAACUUCGCAUGAAUUUAUG
rnacentral:lncRNA from 1 species